UUUCCGUCGCGUAUUUGUGUCUGUGUGUGUAACGAAAAGUUUUUGUGUAAAUAAAAUAUUUGAAACUUUCACUUCAACAUGGCGUUACACAAACACGCGCUUUCUUUUGAACGUUUGACCAAAUAAAUGGCGUUGCUCAGUGGUUACCAAUAUUAGCUGAAACAUUUGAUGACGCGUGACUGGACGACUGCUCCGUCGUUUGCAGACUCCAUCUUGUCUUCUGUGAACGUUAUAUGCUUAUUCCGAAAGGUCCAUACGAAACAUACUUAUUACCUGUGGCUAUCUGCUGUGUCCAUAGAGGGGAAUCGAACCCUCUGAGUUUAGCGUUGUAAAUCCGAAGACUUACCAUUUCAGUGCCAACCAGGGUUCCUCAGGAUCGCCCACGUAGAGCUUGGUGGGUACAUUGAACCUUCGAAGGUGGGAUACACCUGAUUAUACAAGCUUUCUUGAUGAUAUUUCAUUCUGACUGCUUAGAAGUAUUACUCGUACUAUCAUUACAUGAUCUAUUCAUGCCAGACUCGUGGGUAGGCGAGGUAAGCAAUCGCCAAUGGUGGCAAAAGUGUCUCCCUGGUUACAGUUGCCACGACAACCUAAUCUCUUCCAAUAAGGUGAGUCUCGGUAGGCGGGUCGAUUCUGA